rnacentral:lncRNA from 1 species
CCGGGGCAGUCCCUGCUCUCCCCUGCUAGAGGGGCACCCUAAUCCGUCACCCCAUCCGACUUCAGAAUGUAUUCUUGGGUUCGGCAACUCACCACCAGCAUCCAACCAAAUCUAGCGGAUCAACGGCGCAUCAACUUAGUUCCUGGUUAGCUCGCAAGUUGAUUUUAUCACGUCCUACACCGUCCACGAAAUGGGGGGCCACCUCCCAUUUCAACACUCCUCAAACAUCCGAGGAGCCGGCAGGCGGAUUUGAAUCCGGGUCGGCCGGGAGUAGAAGUCAGGCCUUAACCUCUGCCAGCCGCCGGCCGUGGUAGGACGGCAGAGAAUCUUUUGCCAGGUAGGCAGGAGACGCUGAAGAAUGGCUACUGACAUAACUGCCAACUGCGCAAGAUCCUUAGCAACGUGCAGGCAAGUGACGAAGCGGUGCUUUCACACGUGCCUUGUCGCGGUGCAUCAUGCCGCCAUUGCAGCUGGCGUGGACAUCCGCAAACUGUAUUAACUUGCCAGCGGUGUUGGAGGUGUACAAGGAGCAGGUCUUUUAGCGACAUAUUGAUCACGAGGGGUUCACCGACCGAUAAGGAUACCGGUUAUCUCGAAAUGCCUUACCGAAGCAACCGGUUGGAUUAUAACUAACCGGUCGGUUACCGACCCUAUGCCAUAGGGGGUGCGGUGUGCGUGUGCACUGCGGCGCACGCUGCUUCUGCUCAUUAUGCUUUGAUUGUUAUGCGGCCGCGCGGUUUCUCGCUCUUGGCUCAGCUCCGCCGCACUCAGCAACUCCAGCCCAUCCAUGCCAACUGCUCCAGCACUCCCUCCUUACCUUCUUCUCCGUCUCACGUACAUCUCAUACAUCUCCUACGCUCCAGUUCGACUGGCAAUGGGCUGGGUUCGCGCACUACCAGGAGGCUAGAUGCUCAGCCGUUCCUGUUGAGAUGGCGGCGGCGCGCAAUGCAAUGGAUUCGCAUUGGCGCCUUAGCAAGUGUAUAUACCAGACUCAUCAUCACUCCAACGCCGCCAGCCGCCGCACCGAGCCCUCGCCGUACAGCCUCCCCUGCGGAAUACUGCGGGGUGGCUGACUGCGCCGUGGCCGGGCCCUUUUUGGCUAUGAAGAAGCUGACAAGUUUUGGCCAACGUGAUGUCGUAGAAAGGCAUAGGAUGCAUCUUGACGGUGGUAACGCUGCAAAGUACAGGAAUGUAGCUGAGCCAAACUUUAACAAGGGCGGGAGGCCAUCAACUAGAAAACUUUGCGGAGACGUGGGGACUCCAGAACCUCGGAACACAGGUCACGUCGUUAGCGAAGCGGUCAACGGUGAGGCAGUUGAGCUAUUGGAGCCGUGGAGGUUUGGGCGGCCAAGCCCCGGUAUCUGGUCUAAGUUGCCGUCUUGUGCAACGUUAUUACCAUUGCUGUCGGGGUAUUCAGGGCGGGGAGCUGAUGGAAGCUGAAGAGGGAGACGGUCCUGGCAGUUUGGGGGUGCGGGUUUACCAAGGAAUGUGAGAACUGAGGUAAGAAUUGCAUUUACUGCAUGGAGCGGUUUUGGUGUGAGAGCAAGACAACGACAUUGUGGGACCUAAGAGGUUUUGCAUGGACCGGAUGGACACUUGGGCCAGCGAGGUAAUUGCACCCAGAUUCAGUACGGCAGCACUGCGCUGGUUAUUCAAGGGGCAGCCGUAUUCCCCCCAGCCGCUUGGAUCAGUAUCGAUAAGUGACACACCAAAAGACAAGUGUAAGCGUUCCCUAAGCUACAAAAGUCUCGGUUCCAAAUUUGGAAAAAAAACACUUGCAAGGAGGUGAAGCUUCAGGCCCACAUCAUCCUAAGGAUCCGAGGCCAUCCCGUGGACACCAUUACGGGUUCACUACCCAAAUCAUGGUUACGUUCAGUCCCAAGGCCCCAGCGCGACCACUGAGGCAGCAAUUGACAGCCAAGGUUUUGUUGAACAAUUUGCCAUGUAGGCAUGGCGUUUCCACUCUUAACAUUCCGUCUAGCAUCUAAUUUCGCAUUUCCUGGUGGGAUUCUGGUUGGUCCUGGAAUAUAGGCUUUAAAUUUCAGAGUCAUUUUGUGCCCUGCGGUAGAUCGCUUAAACUAUACGACGAGUAACCGACUUGGCUGUUGGUUGGCAUCGUACUAAACUGGUCUUCUCUCUCGAGGGGAAACCUGCAUACAGCGAACCAUGAAUGAACCGACCCAUUAUGUUACAGCCGGGGGUACACAUGAAUUUGUCAUUUGUCUCUCGGCAAAACUUUCCCCCGGAAGCCGCCCAUUUUGCAAGCGCAGGGCGGGUAACCAGUGGCAUGAAUCCCUUGGCCUUCCCCAAUUAAUCCCACCCGAAUCAAAUCCCUUACGGUACGAUGAUCCGAAGGGACGAAAAUGGGAACACCUGCAGCUCCCAUGCAGGAUCCCGGCAACGAUACACGGCACGCUAACUCGAUGCUAUCAAUGUACACUCACACACGCUUCAAUAUUGGAAAGCUGCAAACGUGCGCACAGAUCCCGUCCGACACUGCAGGUCGUCCGCACCAUGCGGCUCUGAACCCGUCACAGUGCUGCGGAAAGGUCAGAUCCGGGCUAAAUCAAACAACAGAAACUGCACAAGGGUAAAGCGCGUCAUGUGCACUACCUUACCCUUGACAGGCGUAACAAGAGGGCCAAGUAAGUGUGCUUGCAUCCCUUCCACUAACUAUAUACAGCUCGUAGAACGGAUGUUAUCAUGAAGUGCUGCGACUAAUCAGAGAGUAAAAGACACCAACACCAGCACGGCCGUUUCCACGCUGUCCCUCCACGCCUCCUUUGCGACCUCUUACCCCGCUGCCAAGAGCCCGCGAUUUCUCCGCCCGAUUAGCUUCCCGCGCAGGGAACGCAAAUCAACGUAUCCUUUUCUGUUACUCGUACCACAUACGAAAGCGCGUUGGAGGCUGUUAACUCCUGUUCUCCACACCAAAGGGGGUAAAGCGCGUUUGCCGCUAUUGCCACUGUUGCCCGAGCCACACCUUGCAGCCAAUGGACAAAAGCAGCAAUGCUGGUACCCACCCAACACCAUCUACAACCCCGCACCGACUACUAAAUAGCAGCUACAGCAGCAGUAACGGUGCCGGUGUGCAGCAAUGUGUUCAACCUAUUACAGACCGUCAACCCCAAAAGCAAACGUUACCGGGCAAGACUCCACAGGUCGCACCUCAACUGACAGCUAAGCUACAGAGGAAGCAUACCGCACCAAAUGACGGUGCUCGGGAAAUGCGUCGCCGCUCAAAAUGAAAAAGGUGGCGGCAGCGGAGUGCGGCCUCGCCACAUGCAUUUGACUUACUGCGGCUUGUGCUUCUGUGCAACGAAUAACCACCUUCCAACCCAACGGCCAGCGGCAUUGCACUCCCUGCUUACUACGGCUCACAGGCUCACAACCCCUUGCUCACGCCACAGCGCCGUCGGCUGUCGACAGCGGUGUGCAGCGGGUCUGCAGCCAAACGCAGCCGCCGCCGACUCCGUUGCGGGUGCCAAGACCGCAACUCACCGCGACGCCCCGGACGCAGCAGCAAAUGUGCAACUCGCCCACCACGCCAUCCCCGCCUGUACCCUACAAUCGUACUACGAAAAGAUGACGAAAAACACAAGCAGCCAAGAAGGAUGCACAGCGUAAUCAUCCAUGUCCUCGAAAACCACCACAAAAAAGAACAUAAGCGAAAAGACAUGAUAAUAAGGCGCCACAGGCGGAACCUGCGGAAUCUUUCGGUCACCUGGAUGCAGUAUAAGCUGAAUAGGCGAAUGACGUGUCGGGGGAGGGGGCUGACGUUGUCGGGCCCCAGAAGACACCAGUACACCCCGCCCAAGUCGAUCCCAGCCCUCCUCCCAUCUCAUUCGCCAACCAGCCCUUAUUUUCAAACACACCCAAACCCAAUCAAUGCAAAUACAGCGCACAGCCCCAGCGCGGCUCAAUGGCCGUACGAUUCGUGCGAAACGAUCCGCCGCUCGAAACAGUGCCAACAUCUUCAUUUAAUGCCAUCUUUAGAAUUUGCUUUGUUGUAGUAAUUACUACAAAGGAUCUCCAUGUGUAGUCUCCCCACCUUGUCCUCCUCCUCCUGCCACUAAACCUUGGGCCGUAACCCCUCCGGACAGAAUGAUCAUCCCUAACAACCGCGGCUCACAGCGCCGCAGCAGUCUUCUCCAGCUGGAGAUGGACACUACGGUAUGCUGCAGAAGGGCGCAACCUACUCGUUUAGAGGAGGAGGAUUGACACCAAGACGCAUAACCUCACUGUACUGGGUCCAUCUCAAAACCGAUGCGCCGGAUGCGAUGACGCUUGUGGGAGAAUUCACGGCAGCCAUAUUCCGCAAGACACCCCUCAGAAGGGAUGUCACCUCAUCGACCACACGAGUCGAGGAGGAAACGCCAGGACUCUACAAUUCCAGAGGUGCCGCAAAGGCCACGGCGCACAGCGACAUGACGGGCGGCAGGACGGCGAUGCGCGCCGACACUUCUCGAGCAUCCACAAAAAGCGGCUCACAUGCGCCUUGAACCGCCUUCAGGCAGCGCGCUAGCGGCCGCGGUUGCAUCGCCGCCACAGCCGCCGCCGCCAAGGACGCAGCCCUGCUGCCGUUGCGCAACGGUGAUGUAGGGGGGGGCGGCCCCGGUGCCGGUGACACCUCAUCUAUCCGAUCCACCUCUUCACUACGCCGGCCGUCGUCCACGCCUUCGCUCUCGGAGGAAGGGGCCCUGCAGCAUUGCGAGGCUGUGGCGAAUGGCGACACGGCGCCCUGCCGCUCAGACGUGCUGGGCUGGCCACCCUCAGGCGCGUCAGGGCCCUGAGGCAGUGUUGGACUGGGAGGACCAGCCACCGGCGGUUGACUUUGUUGUUGUUGUUGUUGUUGCUGCUGCUGAGCCUGAGCCGCCUGGGAGAUAAAGGUUGCGUGGAUGUGCGCUGCACAGGUGCUCAAACACUGGCUGACCGCAGCGUGCAGCGCCUCACUGCGGGUAGUGGAUUCACCAGGGCAGGGCAGCGCCCAUCACAAGGUGAAGAGCAAUCACAAGAGUAGUUGCCAGGACAGGAAACCUGACCCGGACAAGAGCCGAAUCGCGGAAGGCCGCUUGGUAACAGUUCAACUAAGGCAAGGUCGAACAGGAACGUAAUUGGAAACCUAAGGAUUGGAACCCAAAGGAGAUGGCGCUUUGCCUCUCUGUUUACCACAAAAUUCCUGCCGACCAGUUCACCUCCAUUUCCUUCAACCUUUGCCGCCAGUUUGUACAGUCCCCGCCCGGAACCCUAAAGCCCCUGGCGCGUCAUCUGCGGCUCACCUACCUCAGGGCCUCAUUUCCCACCAGCCCAGCUCUGCACAGCAAACCCCUCUUUUCCCGCCUCACCCGAAGCGGUAGUUGCACAACACUCGCCGCAACUCCGACUCCAGCUCCUCCACCAUGGCAGCAUUAGAUAAGGCCCGCCGGUAGGCUUCCGCGCUGCCUGUGGCUGCGGCGGCGUCCACACCUACCGCCGCCGCCGCCGUGGGCCCCACAAUCGUGUCCACCCAGGCACAGCCGGUGGGAGACAGGGCCCCGGCGGCGUUGACGGCCUGCCCCAGACACGUCGCCAUGGCCUUACGGGGGAUACAAAGGGUCACCCGGCCGCGGGCUUGUUUAGCGGAUUGGUGUACGACUCACUGCCGGACCGCUGCACAUUGGUGACAUCACAUAAUAUGCAUGCCAACACGGAAUGAAGACUCGUUAACGCCGAAUGAUUGGAAUGAACAGGUAGCCGGGGGAAGAUGUGCGGCCAGUGCACCUAGACCUGCACACAAGAGCCACGUUCCUCCCAGGCCUCAUUUCCCAAACGCCCGCCACCCUCCACACCUGCACCAUCUCCGCCAGCUCCUCGGGAGUGACAUUCGCAUCCAUGGGAAUACCCUCCAGCACCUGGUCGACCGAUAGCAUGGCCUGUGGAGGUGGUGGAAGGGGUGGGAGCGGUGGCAGCAUGGGCUAAGGCGCAGGUGACCCAUUGCAGACAGCAGACAGACAAACACGGGGAGGGGCGAAGAGCAACGAGCCAACACGCGACACCAACUCCUUUUUUUCCCGUAGAGUAUCAAGCUUGCAACCUGGUUGUCUGAUUGAGCUAUUGUGCAACGAACCCCACGGCCCUCAUCCCUAGAUCCUCCCGCACUGGGGUUCCCCCGACCACACGCACCUGGUCCACCAGCCAAGCACAACCCCGCUCCGCGAGCUGCUCACAGGCCAGGAACGCCUCUACUGCUGCGGUGGUCAACCGGGGCGGGAGCCGCAUUCGAGCCGCGGGCGCGGCCGGCUGCCGCAGCUUGGAAAACUUCUCCUGCAGAAACAAGUGUCGUCCUGCAAAGUGCCAAGGAAAGCGAAGUGAGGCGUGGUCUGUCCGGAGGGUGAUCGAUAAUCGGUGCCAGAAGGGAAUCCAGGGAGGGUGCUUUCGGCCUCCACGCCGGCUCACACUGGGCCUCUGCCGCUCCGAUUCCCAUCCGUACCGGGCAUCCACUGGCUACACAGAUUCUUCUGUGGCCAUCCUUCCCACGCAGCCUUCACUACCGCCCAUCUCUUGCCCCAAGAAGCCUUACCAAUAAUAUUGAGCUUAGUCCGUACGCAUAAGUCCAUGAGGGGCAGAAGAAAGGCCGCCGCUACGGUGCGUCCAAAGCAGAGCCGCGCCAGCAGCCGCAGCUGCUGCUGCACACCGCCGCUGCGGCUGCCACCCGCAAUCACCUGCUGCUGCAGCUGCUUGACCAAGGCCACUUCCGUCAGCUGCGAAGGGGGGGUUCGGGGUGCCACGGGAAGAUAUUAUCAAGGGUUGCGCUACCUUACUCCACAAGCCGCAAAGGUUUGCCCGCUGAAGCAACAGGCCCCCCCAACGUUGAGGGCGAAAGCGCAAUUCCACACGUACCGUACUCCAGACGGUGGCAGUUAUGGAAAAGAAACACUCCACAUGGCCCCAGAGGCUACCACGCUUAUAAGCCAUAUUUAAUAGUGACCCAAUACUGUCUUAUGGUCAGUUCACAAUCUGCACUGGCUUUCAGCCGUUUCGGCGAUCUGGGUCACAUGACGUCAAUUGAAACAACAGCUCGAACAGCUAGCCCAAACCGUGCUCGGUAGGCAACCAUCGCCAUCGCGUCGGGUCACAAUUUUCUACGUUUUUGGCUCCAGGACAUUCACGUUUAUCACGCGUUGACAACGACCAGCACCACGGCCGCCACAGGAUGCGCAAACGACUGACCCAAUACAGACCGCGCCUGGCGCCAUCCCAUUGGUAAAACCUGUUCGCCACACCACGUCGUUUCACACAUCCUUCUUACCUUCAUUAAGGUCGCUUGAAUGCGGGGCAACAGGUUCGACAAUUCCUGCGGGUCAUGCAGCGCGCGAAGCAUUUGAGCAAGGCAGGGGCAUCUAUGAACAGAGUCACGAAUCCAUCAAACGCACACGGAGUAGUCUCUCAUUGACGCACUGGAAGGGAAAAGAGAUAGAGGUCGGAGAAGGCGCCGGCAGCCAACCAAGGCAAGCAGGACAGGAGAAAGGACCCGCGAGGGCACACUGGGGGGACGCAUAAGAAUGACAGCAGUGACCGACAGUGCCGACAGUCUCAUGCUGUCGGGGGGUAAGGGUCAAGGUAAUCUGGCCCAGCCGCCAGCACCGAAAUGACCUGUUCACAACGGAUGCUGAAGACCACACAGAGCUGCAAAUACAUCAGAUGCGGUUCCUCACGGCGACAAGCCACCAAUGCCAUACCUGCGGGGCAGAAACUUUCUGGAUGUAAUUGAAGUGGCUGUCCAGAGACUCGUCAAGAUCGGGCGAGCCGCAGUCAUCGCCAUCCGUAUCGCCGCCAGCGUCGGCGCUGGCGCCACUGCCGUCACCGCCAUGGUGCAGAGCAGCCCCACGCAGAAUGGCCGACAGCUCCUUUUCGACACUGCGGUAUUGCGCAGUUUGGGUCGUGGCUUACUCACGAGUGAGCGGAAGGUAAUUUCUUGCCCCGUCCUUACGAACACGCUUUGGACAACCUAGCACUACUGAAGGCUAGGGGAGUGGUACGGAAGUAGUACGCGGUCGUGGCGUCGUGGGGGUGUGCCAAAACUUAACAAGUGCCAGCACGUGAAGUGCCAUAUUCACGGUUACAUGCGUAACCCAUAAGCCUUGCUGUCGCCUUAAUGGCGCCUUAGCGCAUAGGAGAGCAUGCGUAGGGUACCAUCAUCGCUUCACCCAAAGGACAGUCCACAGGCGGCCGUUCCAAGCUAGCAAUCCCCACCUCCUCUGUUGCUCGAGUUUCGUCUUAUUGUAGCCAGUCCACCUGUCAGCGCGAAAGCACAACGCAGGGAACUACGUCGUAGGUUGGCCCAGCAAGAAGCGGGCAGAGCUGCCGCACCGGCGGGCUAGAGCUUGGGAACGGAAGCACAGGAGCCGUGACGGGCGCAUCCGUAAAUUAUUCAUGACACCAGUUCCCUUUAUAUCGCAUAUAAACCCACUGCGUGCCUCCUGGGUCCUUACACAUUGCCACAUUAACGUGGCCUCUGUGCAUGGCCUUUCUGACCGCUCCCAUAACUGCUUUUGUUUAUAGUUUACGAACAGCUACCCUUCCUAUGCAAAGGAGACCUCCUAACAAUUUGAUAGUAGUUGGCUCUGCCAGUUUGCUUUCGAAGAUACAAGUCAGCAGUGACGAAGAGUUCGCAGGCUUCCAUGCUAAUUUUAACGAUACCCUUACCAGUAGUAGGCAGCUGCGGCUCCCACAGCUCCGGCCGCAAAGCCCACGAUUAAACGCUUGCGUCUGAAGCCCACACAAGUCAAGCGCCUCAGCAAUAUUUUACGUGCAUCAAUUGAGUUACGCAAACUUGUAAAGCCAACUCUGCUCACCUGCGUAGAAAGUCCAUCCCCUAUGACGCCUACAGACACCGCCAAUUUAGAGCCUAGGGGAAAGCUGUAAUUUGGCCAGUUGCAGAAAUUGCACAGAUGCACCGAGCCAGUCAGCCCGUUUGGAACGAAAUCGCAACUCAAGUAAUUCGUAUGCGUUAGGAAGUGGGAGGUUGACAACGACUUGAUCGCGACAUCCGCCCUCAGAGCAUCCCUGCACGAAAUCCCAAUAGUUUACGGAGUGACUGGGUGGCAAAAGUUUGCCGUGGGAAUUUUGGAGCAAGAAGAUUUUGCGUACCCAUGGCGUACGGAAGGUGCUCAUUUGGGCAUGAUCUUUUGCCAUGGUCAUCUUGCCUGUUAUCAUCCAUCAUAGAGGUGUCGGCAUUCACUCGUAAAAUUGCGAACCUAAAGCUGAGCAAAUCGGUGCUGGGAAGCUGGUGUCAGGGCAGCGGUGGUGUCGGAGCGAAGUCCUGUGCUGAAGUCCACGUAGUCUUCCAUCGCUUCCUGCAUUGGACGCUGCUGUUCGUUGUCCACAUUAGUUGAAAACCAGAAGAAGUACCGUUUGUUUUCAUGUUUUGGUAUUUUCGAUCGGGUCACAAGCGUGAACGGAGCGCGAAGGCAACUCAAGAGUUGCAGUGCCCAGACGUUCGCAAGCAUUGGUGGCGAUUGAACCCUGGUGAACCCUGCCUGCUGAGCGGAGUACCGACGACGUGCAGGGGUAUCAGGGACAGCGGCAACACGGAAACGCCCUGCUCACCAUAAAAAUGAAGUGAGGAUUUAUACCAAGCGCUUUCGAAAAACACUGCGAAACACCGCGAAUUCCUCCUAUUCCUCCUGGUCAGGCGUGAUAAGUGGGAGUGUCAGGGACACCUAUCUUUGCGAGUCAUGUGGAUUGCAGCACACAGUUAUCUCCAUAGGCGCUUCGUUUCAGCAGCGGGUAAACAGUCCUUAACGUUGCAAACGGCAAUACGGGAGGGUUAUAAAUUGGAAUUGAUAAAAUGUCAGCCUGAUAGGGUUAGGAUUGUAAUGGGAGGUCGUGCACCGAUAACAAGGCCUCGGCAGGACUGGCCAGUGUUUGCAUCUGCCGGUCCAUGUAUUCCCUCAGGCCGUAUGCACAGGGAGCCAAGGGUCCGUAUGCUCUUUUGUCACAGCAGUACUCACCCGCUGUCAUUGGUCUGAGCCUAGGAGUCCACUACUUCUGUGGAGGUGCGCUGCCCAACGGGUUCCAAACCCCCCACAUUUUUUGGAAGAACCAGCGUGGGCCUGGCUGACACUCUACUAAACAGAGGAGGUCCGACAUCCAUAUUAUACGGCAUCCUUCUCCCUCACCUGUAUUUAUUAAGAUCCCCCAUCGACUUCUAUAUGGGUUUUACAUGGCCUUUGGGGUGUGUGCCCCGUACCUGCAAUCCGCCCAAUAGCCGAGCCGGGCCGAGGGCUCAAGAGCUGCUACGCACCAUCCUACCUCGCAUUUCAGACAAAGCUAGUGAUAAAGGAGGCUAACGACUAAAGGGAAUGGCGGAGUUGCGGUGGGACCACAUACAUUCCAGCAUCUUCGCCAGACGUUCAGGUUCCCAUUUCACAGCGUUCCUCCAUAUGCUCAAAGCGUGGGAGAUUACGGAACCCGACUUAAUACUCCCCCUGCCCCUAAACCCAGCAGGGCCCUACACUCCACCAUGCGCUGUCACGUUUGCCGGCAUUCCCGGUUCCACCAACGGUAUCCUCACCUGACAUCAUACUAGCAGGACGGUGCGUACUCAAGGCCCUCACCAUGACUUGUACAGGACACCUCCAAUACGGUCGAUAGCUUGUGCAGUAGACACAACAUCUUUCAGGUCGCUCUUCAGAGGCCUGACCCGCUUGAUGGUGAUAUCCACCUCCCUUAGGGUGCUCAUCAGGCUUCGUCAUCAGCUCCGAUCGUGAACAACCGCACGCUGUUGAGGUAAAGAAGAAGCCGUUUUGGUGAACUAGGCCGAAAAUGUCUUAGUAGACUCCUCGACCGUUCUUCAUCAGGUAUUUUACUUGGCUCCCCAACGCAGCUUGUUUGUUGUUUCGUAGAUGCCAGGCCUCCCACCAGCCCGGCUAACUGAUCAGUCAAUUGCACCACGAGGCCAUUGUUGGCCACUUCUUCAGGAUUGUUACGAGCACGCUGAAUGUAGUCCAUUUCUGUUCUGAAUUUCCCGCACAACUAAGCAUCGCAGCCCGUCGGCUCCAUGUGAAUUGUAGUUGUGUGGGCUUACGGUAUCAUAUCUCGCAUCACCAUGCCUGCCACCAGAACAUGGAAGGCAGGGUAUGUUCAUUGUGUUGCCAUAUCUGUUUCGUUUUGGUGGUUCCCUCCUUCUCCUUUACCUGGCGUGUGUGUUUGCAUGCUUGUUGUACCUCUGUCGCUUUUGCACUGGCUUCUCUUGUUGCCUUUUUCGCCUUGGAACCUCUUGAAUCGUUAAGGUAGGGUCACUUAUCGCUUUUACAAGCUGCAGAUGUAACACACACAUUAGAUGUACCUGUAGCUCAGCACAUGAGCGUGUUCUUCAUGGGAGAGUAAGAGCAGGAUAAAUCGUACCAGUUGGUUUCGCCCCUCGCUCUCCCCAACUCCCCCUCGCCCUAUCCAGUUUGCACGGCAAUUGGUAGCCCGCAAAGCCAGGCCGGAAUUCCACAAAUUGUGUAAUGGUGAAUCACUAAUUUCGCAAUUACCAAUCGAGCGCGGUGAUACGGUAGCUGGCUGCUGAAAAGGCCUCUAGAGAUGCUGGUGGAGCACCUUUGCAUGUAUCGACAACAGGUGUGCUGUAUACAGAUACUACAAUUGGCAUCAAGACCCCCUGCAUGUACAUGCCUGGAAACCUGACGUUGGACCCUGAUACACUAAAUUGUAGAUAUCUUGGUGGGUGUGUCCGGUAGGUAUCGUGGCGGACAAUUAACCAUGAGGAUCAUCUGUUUAAUAUCAUAGAUUGCAAAGCAUCGUGUUGCAAAGCAUCGUGUGAGGCUCUCGCAAUGGCUGUGGAAGUGCGGUAUCUGUCAAACUGAUGAAUAAUUGGGUCAAAGCAGGGCUCCUUUUGACGUGCUAAGGAACGACGAAAGACGACGAAUGUUGCGAGCUGAUACAGUAUUAGGCGUGCCCGCAGCUGAAGAUAUCGAGUAUGGGCGUGCGAAGCGAAUCAAAUAUUUCUCGAGUAAUUGUGUAGCAACCUAAUCCGCUUAUGCACGGUGGCACCAGUCAUUUCUACCUCUACCUGCAGAUCAAGGUUUAGGCCUCUAACCACCAAUAACCGAUGAAAGUCGGAACUUGCUGUACAUUAUGCUGGACGAGCAUGGCGUAACCGACCAAAAAUAUGAGGAAAAAUAUGCUCGACCCCAGAUUAAGUUGGGGCUACGGCUGCAGAUUGCUCGCAGCAUUUGCAGGCAACUGACAUUAAUGCAAAGUCUGCCUUCAACGAACACCACAGGCUCUAAAUUGUUGUUUCCCAUACCAAUCUUCAACGAAGCUGUAUUUGAAACUCGAUGGUUAUGAGCUUUGUGUAGGCCGGCGAUCACAUCGGAGGUGCAGCGACGCUUUAUAAGCUUAUGCCUAGUUGACCUCCCACUGCUGUGACAACCAGCUUGCUUUGUCCCUGAAUCAGCUUAUCGUGCGAAGCACCGGACCAUACCUACAAGGGGGUUACGAUGGUGCGUUGCCAAUCCUCUUAUGCGAAUGGCUAUUCACUCGACGGCCUGGGCGGUCUCCGGGUUGUCGACUUCACUUUCCUAGUGCUUUAAAUACUAUGCAAAUCAUUGGAAAAUGGCCACUGGAAGCAUAUGUGUCACACUGAAAGCUGGGAGUAGUUACUGCUAUGCAGCAAGAGCCUCCCUCUUCUUACUGAUAUGGGCUUUGGGACUAAAGAGAAUUGGGUCGGGAUAUGGGAAAGAACAAGCCCAUGCACCAUUAAUCCAGUGUGCAAUGGAUCCGCUUCCUCUAACACCAAUAGUGCUUCUCCCGCCUGCCCCCACCCAUCCCGCUCGGCGAUUCCGGCGAAGUUCCACCUUUGCGCGUUUGUGGCGGCGCAUGCAUCGCCGUCUGGAUUCCAUAUCCCACAUUUCGACUAAGUAGUGUCGUCGUGUACUCGCCUAUUCCCUCGUAAACAAUCCAUGCUGCACAGGCUGCCGGCUUCGGGACUCAAGCGAACGCGCUGUUGCGAAAAUCCGCGGUCUACCAAAAGCGCAAUGUGUGCACCAACAUCUGCCUGAUAUCCUCACCCAUCUUCUUCUGCAUUAUCUUGCUGAUUAUAAAAAUUUUGGUCGACCGAUUGCUCCUCAUGCAACCUGACCUCAAGGUGCGUAGGGCAGCAUGUAGUCCCAAAGGAUUUCCUGGCGCCGCUCGUGUACGGCAUGACAAGUCCUGUUGGGCGCCUUGAACUCAUUCUGGAAGGUUCCCAAAGCUUCUUGGGUGACUAGACCGUACUGCAGGGGUGGUGUGGAUUUGUGGUUGGCGCACCCUCAACUCAGAGUCUGCUGGUAACCGGGCUUGUGUAGGGGAUGUUGUAGGGGAUAUUUAGGUGCAUAGAGCCCCCUGUUGUGAAGGACGACAGCCCGGCUCCUCUAGGUUGUGCAGGAGGGCCUUCUGGGCAUGGCAGGACAAAAGGUAGAGAACUUCAGGGCCAGCUGUUGUUGUUGUUGCUGCUGCUGCUGCUGCUGCUUGUAAGACAAACGCACGCAGUCACAUGGCCCUUACACUAUCCUGCUGCUUUUAAGUAAACAUCAUGAAUGCACAUGCAGUAGGCAUUUGAAAUAGGAAUUCGUGGGUGUUGAUGUUGUUACAGGGUGGUACAGGUGUUGUCUUGUCGCCAUAAAAGGCCGUAUCCAAGCUUCCAAUACAACGCCGAUUGCCGCCAUUCCCUAAUUAGAUGACGAGGCCACCCCUCACCACCAUCGCCGGCGGCGGUGGCCCUCUUACCCUCUGCAGUGCGGCUGCAUGUGCGUCAAGUGCUGCGAGCGCGGUACGAGCAACUGCAUAAACGACCCGUUCUGCAGAAAUGGCGAUGCGAGCGGCUAUGAAUGCCGGGAGUACGACACUGACAAUUGCGGUGUACAGUACAGCAAUAUGGAGCAGUCGCAGUGGUGCGAGGUCCGCAACCCGAGCGCCUGGGCUCCUACGGUCACGGUGCGUCUUGAUUCUCUCGCUCGUUCGCUUGCUUGCUUUGCUGCUUGCUUUGCAUUUAUUGUGGGCCUUCAAUCCAUGUGUUGUGUGUGACCUCGGUGGUUGCGAGAUCAUGCGGGAGCUCUGUGCGCUCUUGACAGCACGUUCUUGCACACUGCUUUCCUAGAGGCGCAUCCCGCGCUGUGCGCCCCGGGCCAGGGGGAGCUGCUAAAGCUAUUACAACACAGGACUAUUUAUAGUCGCCACAUUUUGAUAGUGUGGGGUCCCUGGACCUCACCACACGAAAAGCCUCUGCUGGUUGGUGCCGCUUUCCACCCAGUGGGUCCUGUUGUGCACUCCCCUGUUGCUGCUUCCGCAGCUUCCAAAACCACGGUAUCGCGCGGCGCCGAACAAGCCCGCCCUGACGACGCUCAUCACCGCCCCUGAGCCGCCGUCCUUCACCGCAUCUCAGCUGGGUCCGUACAUGUACUCCGCGCUGCCCUCCCUGGACAGCACGGCCCUGUUCUCUCUCCUAUCAGAGCUCGUCUUCAACAACAGCGCCGUGAAUGCCCACCUCCUUGCCAAGUACGGCCUCACGUUUGGCACCUCCGUGGAUCCCGUUGCCUCGUUAUAUAUGGACACAGCCUUCCUGGGGAACACCCUCUACCUGCUGAUUCCGUACUCGACCAGCUUCAACUGCUCCUCCCUGUCCUCAGUGUUCCCGCCGUUGGAGGGCGUAAAUGCAUCAGCUAACUUGAGUGAGUAGGAGGAGCCGGGGAUGAAGGAUGCCUAAGGGGCUUAUGUGUGUGCAUGUAGAUGUACGUGUACAUGGUCUGCAUGGUCUGCAUGCAUACGUGUGUUUGCGGGCAGGCUUUCGCGCACUGUUGGGACGUGAGGAGCUGGCAUGCCAGCUUUGGCGGCGCGUUAGACUGACAGCAGCGGCUGCAUGGGGGUCGUGUCUGUGGUGUCCGGUGCUCUGAGGUGCUUUCUAAUUUCCUGGUGUUGCCCCAGCUGCUACAACUAUUUAGGCAAUGCUGAAACGGGAAAUGAAGGUAACGGGAAAUUUGUACAUGACUGGAUGACCAGGUGGCCCUUGCUUACGCUGUUCCCUUUCCAUGUGUAUUCUUGCUGCGUCUCCGGCGUCACGUGCGAGGGGCUGAUCGCUGUCAGCGAUCUUACCUCGUACGUCCCAGGUUUUGGGAUUUUCCACCUCAAAUCUGUCCACAUGCCACAAUGCUAUUUCCUCAUAACUUGCCCUCGAACGCGUCCCCCGCCUACAACGCCUGUCCCCUUUCCCGCCUGUCGCAUCCCGCUCGCCGUCCCGUCUCCAUGCUCUUUGCCUCCAUUCCCUUCAGAUUCUGUGAACCCGAAGAUCGCGUCCGUGCCUCUCAUCGAAUUUCUUGUGGCAAUGGUCAACUCCACGAGCAAAACUAUCAUCAAUAAAGACCAGGUGGGAUCUGCGGCGGACUUUAAAUGAAACAUGAAAGCUGCUGUCCAGGGUGCAGGCGGGAAGGUGAGGAGACGCGGCGAGGCUUUCAUUUUCCACCACCCAGGUGGUGUCUCCCUGGGUGCCCCGGGUGGGCCCUUCCUUCUGAAGCCCUCUGUGCACCCACCCUGCCCCGCCUCCUCCGCCGUGUGUCCCCGGGCCCCCGCAGGUGCUUGCUGCGACACUGCGAUCCCCUCUUGCGUUGAACCUCCUCAACACACCUGUGUCCUGUCUGAACGUCAUCGUGUCAGAUCAGCCAAGCGUCUCUGCGAUGGACAGAACAGUGUAUUGUGGCUUUUGGCAGGUAAGGAAACUGACGGACUCGUGGUGGGUCACUUGAGAUUUGAGGUUGCGUGUGUGUGUGUGUGUGUGUGUGUGUCGUUGUGUGUUUUGGUUGGUUGGGUCGUGGUGCUGAGGGCGAUGCGGCGGCUGUGCGUGUAUUGUGGAUCCCGCGGGGUGGGAGGCUGCGACUUCGGUUGCUCCAGUACGGUGUAGAGGAAGAAAAACGGUUUUUCCUCUGUUUCCUCUGAGUGCUCCCUGCGGCAUAACGCCAGGCAUUGGCACUGGGUCUGGAUAUGGCAUCCAGAGUUUUGGAACCUGGAGGCCUUGAAGGCCAGAGAGCUAAGAACCCCCAUGCGCAACGCGGCGAAGAACCCCUUGCGCUGCACCGGCAUUGGCACUGGCACUGGUUUGCUUUCUUGAGAGUCGUUCACUGACCUCCCUGCAUAUCUCCACCCGGGUCUGCUUCCAGGCUGGCUGUAACGGUACCUCUGUCACCAACGAGUAUCCCGUGUCUUACGAGUUCUACAACGCAACAAGCACUUCCGUGUCGUUCGGCCUGUAUUACAACGGCACUGGGACCGACCAAAACGGCAGGCCGCCGGAGUACCUGCGCCUUGCCUCGGAGCUGUCGGGGGCUAUGUUCUCCUGGUGAGAUGGAAAAGGAUGGUUGGUGCCGGGCCGGGCUGGGCUGGGCCGGGAGGAGCUCGCGGCAGACCUGUUGCGGCAGACCCACGCUGUGCGUUUGUGCUGCCCUAUCACAGUGCCCUAUCAUACGGCCCUCAUACUGCCCUCAUACUGCCCUCAUGUGAAGCAUUCACGAUGCACGAAGCCCAGGGCCCAGUCAGGGCGCGCGGGGCUGGGUCGAGGUCGUUGCAAAUGGCGAGGUCCCGCGCAAAGUUCUUCUUCCUUUGCCUGCAGAGCCGAUGCGAAGCCUGUGUGGCAUCUGCUGCCGCAACCCUGCACCUUCUCUCUCCAUGACUGUCAGCAGUGGCUGCUUUGGAUGCAGUUGACCCGCCGCAGUUGGCCCUCCGUCACGAUCCGUGCACCAUCAUCAUGUGGUUCCCCCGCACCUCGCCCACCUGCUCUGCCCGUAAAAACCUGCUCCUGCCGUCCUCGGGGCACCUCCGCAGGUUGAAAAACGCCCUGGGCGGCAACACGACGCUGGCGAACGCCGCGCGGCUGCUGGGCAACAUGGCGAUGCCGAAACAAUCUUCCAAGCUUCAGCUGGAUCUGUCCUCUCUUCUUGGGCCUCUUUUUUACACGUGAGGAGGAGAUGGCACGCGCCUGACAGGAGGGCCAGGAACUGGUAGUCUGAGUGCCCUAGGCGUAUGUCCUUCACCGUCGACGAGAGUCCAUCAAGUCCCUUGGGCAGCGUGCGUGCGUGUGGACAGUACUUGGGGAAUCUGUGUGUGUGUAUGUGUGUGUAUGUGUGUGUAUGUAUGUGAAUGUAUGUGAAUGUGUGUGUAUGUAUGUGUAUGUAUGUAUGUAUGUAUCUGUGUGUGUAUGUAUGUGUAUGUAUGUGAAUGUGUGUGUGUGCCACCCCGGCUGCCCGCCAUUCGUGUAUGAUCUCACGCGAACCUUGGAAAGCCAACCUGACGUUUCCCAAGCCCAAAUGAGUCCACCUAAACCAGCCUGCUGUCCUGCCCCGCUUCUUGCUGCCAUCCCUGCCGCCCCUCGACCCCUUCGCAACACCCAGAUGGGUCGUACAGAUGCUGCUGCCUACCUUUCUGCAGCUGCUGGUGUACGAGAAGGAGAAACGGCUGCGCAUGAUGAUGAAGAUGCACGGCCUGGGUGAUGGCGCGUACUGGCUGGUGACGUACCUGUGGUACCUGAUGUUGUACAUUGUUUACAUGAUCAUCUUCAUCGUUUUCGGAGCAGGGGUCGGUCUUGAGGUCUUCCGUCGGAGCAACAUGGGUGAGUGGGCGGGCGGCUGGGUGGGUGGGUGGGUGGUAACGGGUGAGUGGGUGGAAAAGGCGGACGGGGACGAGGGAAGGGGGAGUUGAGGAAGGAAUGGGGCGAUGGUGGUUAGUGGUUAUUAUUCGCAUACACGCACGCAUUCAUUCACGUACCUAGGCAUCUGUGGACAUUUAUGCAAACAAGGCAGCGUAACUCUCUCGCGCCCGUCACCCGUCGCCGCUCUUUACUCUUAGCGAGGAAGCUUAGUGGGUUUAUUGAGGCCCUUUCCCGUGGGAAGCGGCAACUGACCGGGGCAGGCCCCCCCCUCUUGUGCGCGCGUUCCAAGGUUAAGUCCCCGUUGCUUCAGACCUCGUCUCGUUCAUUACCACUGGUAGUGGUUUGGCGUAAAACCCUUUCUUCACGUUCCCUUUUCCACGUGUGUGCGUGUGUGUGUGUGUGUGCACGCACGGGCUCCCACAGGUGUGCAGAUCAUUUUUUACUUUUUGUUCGGCAACAACAUGAUCGCCAUGGCCUUCAUGCUGUCCUCGCUGUUCUCCUCCUAUCGUACGUCUACGGUGGUGGCCUUCCUGUACGUCUUCGCCACCGGACUCCUUGGGGAGCUGCUUUUUAAGGUUCGGGGGCAUGCGUGUGUGUGCGUGUGUUAUGUGUGUGGGGUUGGUUGGGAAGGGUUGGGCGUCGGGAGGAAGUUGUCGUGCGUACGACAGAUUGAUCUUCUCCAUUUCUUCGUCCUUAUUUCCUGUUCCCGUGUCCCCUACCUUUCAUUUAUUGUACUUCGUUUUCUUCACUCGCGCCUUCCUUCCUUCCUGCCUGCCUUCCUGUGUGCCGGUCUGUGCGCCGGUCUGUGUGCCGGUCUGCCUUCCUGUGUGCCGGUCUGUGUGCCGGUCUGUGUGCCGGUCUGCAGACCUUCAUGGAGGACAACGAGAGCUGGAUGUUCUUUGUGGAGUGGGUUCCCGCAUUCGCGCUCUAUCGGUGAGGAGAAAAAGGGGAGGCAGAAGAGGAGGAAUAAGAGGCGUAAGCAGCAGCCGUCUAAAAUAUGGUGCCGGAAUUGCUUGGCAGUUUCCAUCAACUCUCCUCCCGCGCCCUUCCUUCCCAUUUGUACUCCCAGACCCUCUCCUCUUGCGGCCUCGCUCUCCGCAACCAUGUCACCAUGGGUAUGGCUACUACUCCUAGCCUACCUGCCUAACCUCCCACCCAAGCCCUCUACAUUGGCUUCAUCAACUCAUCCCAACACAACUGGGCCCUUGUUCUUUCUCACACACACACACAUACACACAAACAUACACACAAACACACGCGCGCGCACGCAGGGGCCUGUGGGAGAUGUCGCAGUAUGCCUUCCUGGGCGUGUACCAGGGCUCCCGCGGUCUGGACUUUGCCCGUCUGAGUGACGAGGGCUGCGGCAUGCGGGCCACCUGGGGCAUCUUCGUGGUGGAGUGGGCCAUCUUCAUGGUGCUGGGCUGGUACCUGGAGCAGGUGCUCUCCAGCGGCACCGGCAUCCGCCGCCACCCCCUGUACUUCCUAAAGUGCUGCAUGCCGCGGAGGAAGGCCCAUGGUCAUGUGCCCAAUGCGGGGGAUGUGGGUACUCCACGCGCGUCGAUUGAGCUGGGAAGUGGUGGCGGCAAGGGGGCGGCCAAUGGCGGUGCAGGCGGCGGCGGCGGCAGCGACUCCCUGCGUCUGACCCCCGGCGAGCGCGAGGACGUGCGGGCAGAGAGGAUGAGGGUCGAGAUGCUGACGGAGGAAGAGGCGGCGGCCAAGCCGAUUGUGGUGCGGAACCUGCGGAAGGUGUACCCACCGCUUGAUGGUGGAAAGCCCAAGGUGAGUACAGGGGUGGGGAGUCGGGGCCGGGUUGGAGGGGCUUGGGAGGCGGGGGAGUUGGAGGGGUCGGAUUGGUCUGAGCCGGCGGUGGCUGUCUGGCACACACACACACACAUACACAAAUCUCUGUGGCCAUCGGCCUGCACGCCCCCUUCACUCCAGCGGUGCCUUAGCGGUCAGAUGAGAGUUCAGAUGGCGGGAAGAUGCAGAGGGAAGGGGUCUUUGCAGUACAACGUUUCCACAAGAAUGCUAUUACGGGUGCUGAUUGACACUUCCGGCAUACACUUCUGGCAUAGAUCAUCUGCACAUCUGCCAUUCUCGUGCGGGAGACGCCCAGCUUGCCAAGCAUUCUUCAGAACGUUUUGGAGAUGCUGAAGCACUACCAAACAAAAUUGCAAAAGCCAACCCUGCUUUGCCGCGGGCCAUUCACGGCCCCAACCACACUAUAGACCAUAUGGCGCCCUAAUGCCGCGCAAGUCUCAACCGAACAAGCUUGGCGGCUUUUUCUUCCUCAGGGCUGUUUAGGCGCGCUUCGGGCCCUCUGUAUGUAUGUUGUUACAGGGUGGUUAACUUCGCCAGCGGCCCCCUUUCCCGGGGCAGUCCCUGCUCUCCCCUGCUAGAGGGGCACCCUAAUCCGUCACCCCAUCCGACUUCAGAAUGUAUUCGUUGGGUUCGGCAACUCACCACCAGCAUCCAACCAAAUCUAGCGGAUCAACGGCGCAUCAACUUAGUUCCUGGUCAGCUCGCAAGUUGAUAUUAUCACGUCCUACACCGUCCAUAUGAUGGGGGGCCACCUCCCAUUUCAUCACUCCUCAAACACCCGAGGAGCCGGCAGGCGGAUUUGAACCCGGGUCGGCCAGGUGCAGAAGUCAGGCCUUAACCUCUGCCAGCCGCCUGCC